rnacentral:rRNA from 1 species
GGCGGCAUGCCUUACACAUGCAAGUCGAACGGCAGCACGGGGGCAACCCUGGUGGCGAGUGGCGAACGGGUGAGUAACACAUCGGAACGUGUCCUGUAGUGGGGGAUAGCCCGGCGAAAGCCGGAUUAAUACCGCAUACGACCUGAGGGAGAAAGCGGGGGAUCUUCGGACCUCGCGCUAGAGGGGCGGCCGAUGGCAGAUUAGCUAGUUGGUGGGGUAAAGGCCUACCAAGGCGACGAUCUGUAGCUGGUCUGAGAGGACGACCAGCCACACUGGGACUGAGACACGGCCCAGACUCCUACGGGAGGCAGCAGUGGGGAAUUUUGGACAAUGGGGGAAACCCUGAUCCAGCAAUGCCGCGUGUGUGAAGAAGGCCUUCGGGUUGUAAAGCACUUUUGUCCGGAAAGAAAACUUCCGCCCUAAUACGGUGGGAGGCUGACGGUACCGGAAGAAUAAGCACCGGCUAACUACGUGCCAGCAGCCGCGGUAAUACGUA